rnacentral:lncRNA from 1 species
UAGUUUGCCUAUGUUACUACAAGAACAAUAAAAUAUCUGACACUUUCAAUAUGGUUAGUUUGUCUAAAGUAUAUAUACACACAGAGGCGGUAAAGAAUAAUAAGUACAAUUAAAGGAUAGGGAAAGGAGAACUGGACUCUCGCUAUGGGCCUGCAAAUGUUCAAGCCCAACAUAAUGUACACGAAUAGUGGCCUCGAUAGGAACGUGAUGACGUAUAUCUGAAAGUGGACUUGAGCUCCAAAUGGGCUCAGCAGGCCCAAAUUGAAUUCAUGCACACAAAAAAAAUAAAAUAACUAAUGUAUAUCAAUUGCAAAAGCUAAGUAAGAUAAAGAGUAUAACAAAUGGUAAUAAAGAGCAAAAGAAUGUCGUGAGGCAGAUUUUAUAUAUUCUAAUCUUAUGAGGAUUAAUAAGAGUUAGUGACUAAAAGCUUGGUGUAAAUCCUCUCUUAUUGAUAUAAUCUCCCUUUUGAGCUCCUUGUACUUCAGAGUUCAUGAGGGUCUCACGGACCCCGAACAGUGCUUUUGUCAAGGAGAGAGAGAAUAACCACAAUGAAUUUUUACAUCUAAUUACCCUUAACCACAUUAUAUUAAUCUUCUUCAGAGGUUUAAACAUAAACAAAAGAAUCAACAGAGUAACUUUAUACUGCUAAGAUACAAAAAGUAGUUACAAGAGUCAUGGUAAACCCUUUAAAGGUUCAAAUACAUAAGAAACUCAACAACUAUGAACAAAUGGGAUGUUGUAAUUCAUUUCAAAGCACAAAAGUAGCCAAGGGCACGAUAUUGACUUAAGAGGAAUCAUAUCAGAGUCAUGAGAUCACUUUGAAGACAUAGUCAAGCAAGAAAACAAAGUGCAGGCAAGAGACAUGUUUCACUUCUCAUAGAGUUUAGACGCAUAAGUGUUACAGUAAAGUAUCACACAGAGAUGAGCAUAAGAGUAUGUUAUAUUGGCUUCACUAUAGGUUUAAUCUUCCAUAACUCUUCUAAGUGAGUUCAGAUCAUAGGGAUUGUUCACAGGUGUUUCUAAAGUCUCAGCAUAGUUAACAUCAAGCCUAUACCUUAUCAUUUUGACACCUAAGCUGAUUAUUCUAAUCAGAAUUCCUAAGGGGCAUGCCAAUUAGUCAGGGAAACAAAGUCAUUAAAUAGGAAAGAAUUGAUCUUACUCUUACUCAAUACUGACAGACUGAUUAUACAACACAUAUAUCAUCAAAAUUUCUAACUAUCAGACUUAAACAAAUUCAGGGUGAGUCCCUACGGGAGAUGGCACUAUCAGAUAUAAGGAAAUAGGUAAUAACAUCCAUUUUAAGGCAAACAUGUCAUAAUGAACUGACACUUGAAUAUAUAGGCAACUAGUAUGGUAUGUAAAUCAAACUCAAUACAUGAUUUUAAUUUAAGCUAAUAUGACAAACAUAUAGGAAUCAGGAUAGCAGAAAGUCACAACUAAGUCUAACAAUUAAAGUCAUGAGAGCAUAUCAUCACUAGCAAUGGGAAUAGAUCCCUUAGUGGGAAAUAUUCACAUACUCAAACCAAGUAAAGCACCAUAGCAACCAAGGCAAGUAAAGGUUAGCACAUAGGUGCAAAUAUAUAGUCUCUCAAACUGAAGUCAAAAAAUAGUUUAUUAGCAUAGCAAGGAUUAAUAUGAGAGAGGUAAGCUCAUGUGUAAAGGUCAUUAAUGUAAUGGCAAGAGUCUCACAAAAGCUCAAACAGUCAUGAGAGGGUGAGUAUUAAUCUCAUACUAAGGAUCAAUAGAGAACAAUCUUCCUAACACACUUAGCAAGGUUCAGCACGUACUUUCUUGACUUCUCACACCAUCACAAAGAACGCACAAGAAUCAUUCUGUUACUACUACAUAUGCAGUAUACUAAUUAGAGUCAAACAAAUUAAUAUGAAGUUGGGAACUAAACCAAAUAGCAGAACAUUACAUGUAUCGGGAUGGCAUAAUGAAACAAGUAAUGACAGCAUACAGAUGAUUCUUUGAAACUUGAUUUUAUCCCAACCUCUUCUGCAGGGCAGAAAACCAAGUAGUAGAUGUUCAACAGUGAUUUAGGAAUCCAAACUCAUGACCAGUAUAACAGUUGAACUCAAACCGGAGAAGAGAAAGAAAAUAGAAAAAUCAGAGAGUACUUACUGAGAAAUUCUUAAACUUCAACUCUUUUCUUUCUUUCUUUUGUGUUUCGGAUAGUAUUCAAUUUGUCUUAGGUGAAUACAUUGAAUUCCCUUUUUUAUAGUGGCAUACGAGACUUAGUGUCCCGCUCAGAUUCAAAAUAGUGACUGGAAAGUGCCUAUAUCCAGAUGAUGAUAGUAAUAGAGGUGAAAUCAGUAAAGAACAGAGGGAAAAAUAUCUUAGAAAUUACUUGGGCACGAGGGGAUGACCGUUAAAGCUUUUGGACUGGUGGUCAAACCGUAAUAUCAGAGGUCACUACGUUUGACCUAUGGAUAAAUAAUAACAUUGAUUAAACAAGAGACAAGCAGCCAUGCAUGCUCUGGAUUUGAAAGAACAUGGGAGGUUUGAUGGGUUUUCAAGUUUCACGAUUUAGGUCCAGGUUUUAAUUUGGGGAUUUUGAAUUUCGGUGAUGAUAAUGGAAAUAUUCCACCUGGAUUCGCGGCAUAGGGGACAGACUGGGUGAUUUGAAGUUGAUUCUUGUCACCUUGCACAAAUUUGUGCAAGGUCUUUGAGGAUUGAUGGGCUGAUGGAUGAGGGAAAGGAGAGAGGAAAGGGAAAUGGAGGCGGUUAGGUGGUGAGAGAAUGAUAGGGUUUAGGGGUGUUUGGUAGGUUUAAUAAAAUUUUUAUUAUGGGAAAAAAUAUACUUCCGUUGGAUCUCUGUAAUCCAAAGGUGGAGAUGAGGUCUGGCAUAUAUUUUAAAAUAAAGGAAUAAAUGGGGAUUAAUGUGGACCCUUGAUGAUCUGGGCCAGAAGUCCAGAUUCUUGUGUUUGUUUUGUGAGUGUGGGAAAUAGGCGACGUGGCACGAUGCUAUUGGCUCAGAGACUCAGAGGAAGUGGCACAGAUUGCCAACAUGGAAUAGAAACAGUGAGUCUGGACUGGGUCAGGGUGUUUGGGCUCGUGUAUUUGGGCCAAAAUAUCUUAAAUAAAGUUUAACAAUUGGCCACAUUGAGUUUAAUUGAUUAAUUACAAUUGUAGCCUUUUGAGCAUUUAACCCCUUUUUAAAAUCAACUUAAUUAUGCUUAAUUUAUCAUAAUUAAAUGCAAUAAAAUAUAAUAAUCAAAUAUAUUACUAAUUGCUAUAAUUAAUUAGUUAUUGUUAUAAUAUUUUAUUAAUUGAAUUAUGAAACUACUUUGGUUAAUUAAAGUAAAUAAGGAAAUAUAAUUAUAAAUUUAAGACUAAUUCAUUAAAUUAAUUAUAAAACUUGUUUAUUAAAAUAUAAUGGUUAUUUUAAUAGUUCAAAACAGUAAGAGUAGUAUAAUUUAUAAAUAUUUAAUAUCAAAUUACUUUUAAUUCAAUAAUAUUAAUUAUUAUUAUCUAUUGUAUUUUAGAAAAAUAGGUAUUAUUGAUUAGAAAAUAUUUAACCAUAUUUAUUGCCAAUUAAUAAUCAUAAAUAAUUUAGAGACUAGACUCUACGUAGGUUCUCUACGUAUCCCAUCGUGGGAAGGUAGGUCAGGUGUAGUUCUGUUACAACAAAACCCUAACUCUAUUGUCUUCAAAUGUGUUAUCUCUUGAUUGCGUCUGAAUUGAUUGGCUUCGUGCUGAAUUUGCCGUCCAUUUCUACUAGGAUUUGUGCACCUCCCAUUUCUUAAUCGAUGGCCUUCGUGCUGACUUUGCCUCCACUUAAUGGGGGAAAUAUCUUCUUCAAAACCAACUGACCCGAUGUGAAUUGCCGAGGUUUCAAUUUUCUGUUGAACGCGUUGGCCAUCCUAUUUUGAUACAGAUGACCAUGAUAAAUCCUUCCAUUCUCUUUUCAUCAAUGAGCAUAAGUUGUUCUUGCCUGAAACAUAUCCAUUCUGCAUCAUCUAGCUUGGCUUCCUGGAUAACUCUCAAAUAUGGUAUCUCGACCUCUCCAGAUAUCACAACUUCUAUGCCAUUUACCAACAAGUAUGGUUUUUCCCCAGUAGAUGUUCUUAUGGUAGUGUGGUAACCCGGUAAGGCAAAGGAUAGCUUUUCGUACCAUUGCAUGUGAUUGUCCACUUAUCUUUUUAAAGAUUCUAUAGAUGUUUUUGGUGGUUGCUUAAACUGCUUCAUUCAUUUGUGGCCUAUAGGCUAUGGAGUUGCGGUGGACAAUUAUGAACUUCUAGAAAAUCUCCCUCAUGAGAUUGCUAUUGAGAUUGGCUGCACUGUGAAUUAUGAUUGACUCUGGAAUCCCCAAUAGACAGACUGUGUUUUUACGGUCGAAAUCUGACACCACCUUCUUCGUGAUAGCCUUGUAUGUAGAAACUUUGACCCAUUUUGUGAAGUAGUCGAUGGCUACCAAGAUUAAAUGAUGCACGUUCGAUGCAACAGGUUCUAUAGGUCCAAUCAAAUCUAUGCCCCAAGUGGCAAAUGGUCAAGGAGAGCCUAUUCCAUUUAACUCAUUCGGUAGAACUCGGAUGAAAUCCCCGGGAAUCUGACACUGUGAUACAUAUGCACGUAGCGGAUGCUAUCACUUUCCAUGGUCAUCCAAAAGAAUUCGGCUCUCAAAAUCUUCUUAGCUAAGGUGAAACCAUUCAUGUGAGACCCGAACAUUCCUGUAUGUAUUUUCUCCAAUAAUCUUGUUGCUUCAGCAUCAUCCACACCCCUUAACAGACCCAAAUUCGGGGUCCUCCUAUACAGAACUUCCAUGUUAAGGAAAAAGUGAUUUGCUGGUCUUCUUAAGGCUCAUUUAUGACCAUUAGUGUUAUUUUCUUGGUACUUUCUUGUUUCAAAAAACCUUUGAUGUCUUGGUACCAAGGCCUACUAUCUGGAUCUUCAUCUACCUGGAAAUAGUAUGCAUUCUAAUCUCGAGCCUCUAUCUCGAUAGGGUUGAUGUAAUUCUUGUAUGGGUGCAGGAUCAUGGAUGACAAAGUUGCGAGAGCAUCGACGAACUCAUUAUAGAUUCUAGGCACAUGUUUGAACUUGAUCUUGGUGAAAUUCUUACACAACUCCUUCAUGCAAUACAAGUAUGGAAGGAUCUUGACAUUCUUGGUGGUCCACUCACCCUGAACUUGAUGUAUCAACAAAUCAGAAUCUCCUAUCACCAAAAGCUCUUUAAUGUUCACGUCGACUGCAAUCCUAAUCCUUAGGAUUCAUGCCUAAUAUCCUGCCAUAUUACUUGUUCAAUGUAACCUUAUCUUAGCUGAAGCAGGAUAAUGUUGUCCCGACUUCGAAAUUAGGACUGCCCCAAUUCCCACUCCCUUGAAAUUUGCUGCCCCAUUGAAAAGCAUUCUCCACCCUGGAUAUGAAUCUGAAAUAUCCUCCCUAGUGAACAACACUUCUUCAUCUGGGAAGUAAGUGCUAAGUGGCUUAUAAUCCUUGUCCACCAGGUUUUCUGCAAGAUGAUCAACGAACGCUCGUCCUUUGAUAGCUUUCUGCAUCACAUACACAAUAUCGAAUUCACUGAAAAGAAUCUGCCAUUUGGCCAAUUUUCCCAUAGGCAUCGGCUUCUUGAAGAUGUACUUGAGCGGGUCGAUUCAGGAGAUUAAAUAUAUGCUAUAUGCCAAUAGGUAAUGUCUUAACUUCUGAAUGAUCUAGGUCAAAGCGCAACAGGUCCGCUCUAACAAUGUGUAUCUGGCUUCAUAUCGUGUGAACUUCUUGUUUAAGUAAUAGAUAGCUUGCUCCUUCUUUCUAGUCUUAUGAUGUUGUCCCAACAUGCAUCCAAAUGCAUUAUUCAAGACUAACAUGUAUAGCAGCAGAGACUUCCCAGGUUCAGGAGGAAUUAACACAAACGGACUCGACAAAUACUCUUUGAUUCUAUUGAAAGCUUUUUGACAUUCCUCUUUCCACUUUGUAGAGGCAUCUUUAUUUAACAACUUAAAAAUCGGCUCACAGAUUACUAUUGACUAGGCUAUGAACCUGCUGAUGUAGUUCAAUGUUCUAAGGAAUCUCAUCACACCCUUCUUACUUUUGGGUAGAGACAAGUCUUGAAUUGCCUUGAUCUAUGAGGGGUCUAGUUCUAUCCCUUUUCUGCUGACGAUGAAGCCUAACAGUUUUCCUAUGGGGACUCCAACACAUAUUUUGCAGAAUUCAACUUCAAACUGUACCUUUACAAUCAGUCAAAGAACUUCCUUAAGUCGUUCAAAUGAUAUGCACUCUUUCAUGACUUGAUGAUGAUGCCAUCCACAUAUACCUCGAUCUAUUUGUGGAAGAUGUCGUGAAAGAGGUUUGCCAUGGCCCUCAUGUAGGUAGCACCGGCAUUCUUGAGAUCGAACAACAUGACCCUAUAGCAAUAUACUCCCCAUGGUAUGGUGAAUGCUUUCUUUUCUGCAUCUUCUUUGUGCAUCUAAAUCUGGUGGUAUCCAGGAAACAAUUCACGAACGAUUGUAACUUAUGUUUCGCGCACUUUUCGCUAAGGAUAUGGAUAUUCUAAAGAGGAAAGUCAUCCUUGGGACUGGCUUUGUUGAGAUAUUGGUAGUCCACGCAUAUCCUAAUCUUUCCUUCUUUCUUCGAUACCGGUACGACGUUUUCCAACCAUGUAGGGUAAUUGGUGACCCUCACCACAUUUGCUUUUAUCUUGUUAGUGACUUCUUCUUUGAUUUUUAGAUUCAAAUCUGGUUUGAAUUUUUUGGGUUUCUGUUUGGUUGUUGGCCCAGCGGGAUCAGUGGGCAACCAGUGCGAGAUGAUGUCAGUACUUAAAUUGGGCAUGUCGUCAUAUGACCAAGCGAAUACAUUGAUGUAUUGUCCGUAGAGCUCUUCCAAGUCUUCCUUCUGUUCUGCUUUCAAGUGGAUGCUGAUUCGAGUCUCUUUCACAUCUUCUUCACUUCGAAAGUCAAUCACUUAUGUUUCUUCAUGAUUGGGCUUUUUCUGGCUUUCUAGCUGCUCAGUCUCUUGCAGGUGGUUCUUAGGCAUCAUACUGUCAUCGUACUCUUCAUAGUCCAAAUCAUUUUGCUCACCGGUUUCGUUAGAUGUCAAAAUCGUGGAAUGCGAGUUUUUAUUGAUUUGAUUACUAAAAAGAUAAAUUGAGUAUAGAUAAAGAUAAAGAUGAAUUUGCGAUGAUUUCAUGAAAGUAAUUUUUUAUUUAACCAAAAAGAACGUCUCAGUAUAUAAAGAGGCAAUUUAACAAAAAGGUACAAGCAUGGUUCAGGACUCAAUUGACCAUGCGCUUUUUCAAAAUUACUACAAUUCCAUACUACCAAGACUCCCGCCGAACCAGAGACAGGUGGUCCAGUUUUUCAAUGUCUCUCUAGGUUUGGCAUUUUGAAUAGUCGGUGUCUUGAUAUCAUCUUCGUCGCAACAUUCCUCGAUCAUGGCUACAAAAAAUCUUCCCAUGCAAUCAUUGAUAUAAUCAUCUGGUGGUGAGCUCUGACCGGGUCCUGGAAUAUGCUCUGGUACCAAAACCUUCUUCCUAGGGUUAUCGUUGUAUGUUCUUCCAGUUAUAGGCUGAUACCUCAAGCCGGUGGUACUUUUCUGCCCAUUCGAUUCAAUUGGCUCUGCUAUCCCAUCUGAUCGGUCUCCUAGCCCAUUCCCUGGUCGGUAUCCAUAUUUCAUCAUUUCCUACAUUGCCAUCUUUAACCUAUAGUGUUACUGCAUGCUGUGAUUCUACUCAUUCUUCUACAUUUAUGUUGCUUGCAUGAUCUUGAUUGCAUGGAUGGCGACCCCAUCUAAUCCUUCUAUGAAAGGAACUGCAUUCUCCAAGUAAGCUGACCGGCUUCACUCCCCAUGUAUCCCAAUCUCCUGGAAAUCCCACUCAAAUUUCAUACACUUAUGGAGAAUGGAUGGAACUGCCCCUGCCAUGUGUAUCCAGGGCCUUCCUAAUAGUAGAUUGUAUGAAGACAAAAUGUCCAUCACUUGAAACAAUAUUGGAAACUCAACUAGGCAAAUUUUCAAGGCUAAGUAGAUAUCUCUGAUGACAUCCUUCUGUGACCUAUCGAAAGCCCUUACUGUUACAUGGCUCUCUUUCACUUCCCUCAAAUGAAUGCCCAAUUCUCACAGAGUAGAGAACCAGAAAAUAUUUACUCCGGAUCCUCUGUCGAUAAAGCACACAUGAUACAACUUUGUCCCCACAUUUGACUGUGAUGUGCAGAGCCUUGUUUUGGUCCAUAACCUCCAUAGGAAGUUCAUCUCAUCGAAAGGAAAUCUUGUUUUCUUUGACCAUCUUCCCAAUGGUUGCUACUAGUGCCUCGCUAGUGGUACUGCCCGGCAUACUUUCCCCACUUAGCACUUUUACUAAAGCAUCCUUGUUACUGUCGGAGCUCAUCAACAAAUCCAUAAUUGAUAUGCGGGCAGGGGUCUUUCUCAACUGUUCUUCUAUGAAAUUUUCUUUAAUCGGCAUCCUCAUUCAAAACUCUACUGCCUCCACGUUUGUUGUGUUUCUCCUCUGAUUUUGCUCUCUACUCAUGUUCCCUCAAUUCACCUCUUCUGGAGCGUAACACCUUCCUGACCUAGUCAUUAUGUGAGCAGUUGCGCUGAAUGUUAUUUUUCCUUUCCCUUUGACUGAUGAGUCCAUGAAACUGCCUUAUAUACUCGACUCCCUUCAUAUCUAACAGUGGUGGUGGAUCGUUGUUGAUUUGUCUGAACUAUCAUAGGAGGUUUCAACUUCAUAGUAAUCAAUGGAGUUACCCAAGGGAGUGUUCUUGCAGCUUCAUCAUUCCCAAUAGUGACAAUGCUCCCUUUUAAGUAAUAGUCCCCGUCUAAUACAAUUAUGUUGGCUCCUUAGUUUCUGUGGUUUGGUUGUGGGUUACUAUUUACACACUGGAUAGCUCCACUUUUAAUCAAUAGUUUGAUCUUAUUCUUCAAUCUAUAACAAUCCUUUGUGUCAUGCCUAGGAACACCUUAAUGAUAGGCGCAAUGCUUGCUUCCAUCAAAAUAUUUGUAGGGUUGGUCGAGGAUUCUUCCUUCCACAUGGUAUAUCAUUUUGUCUCUUCUUAAUCGUUCGAACUAUUGGGCUAAAGGCUCAGAAAUUAGGGUGAAGUUUCUUGGAUUCCUUUCUUCAAUGUUUGGACGUGACCUGGGUACAUAGGCAUGUCUGCUUUUAUGGGUGGUGGUUCGAACUAUAUGGUCGUGGUGGGUUUGGAUGUAUAUUGGCUCGGGGUGGGUUAUAAUGGGGUUGACCAUUGUAGAAUAGUUGGGUAUUAUAUACUGGGGUAUAAGGGAGGAUGGGUAUUUGUGGGGUAGGAGUUGGUUCGACAAGGAGGACUUGACUGAUAGUAGGGGGAAAUCGCCGUUACUUCCUCUUUCCUCUUCUUCCCACUUCCGAUUGAAUUGGAUUGUAUAGCCUUGCUAGUAGCUUGUAGCACGAUCAUUGACUCUAUCUUUCUUGACUUGAUACAUUCAUCCAAGAAAACUCCCAUUUUAACCAGGUCGAGAAAUUUCUUACUCAUCAUACCCAUCAUCUUUUUGAAAUAAAUUCCCUUUUGCGCACGGAUAAAGUAAUUAGUUUUCUCAUUAUCAUCCAACGGUGGUUGAGUCCUAGAAGCUUUUGAUCUCUAACGGCGAGCAUAUUCUUGAAAUGGUUCAAAGAGCCUCUUCCACAUAUUCACCAAAGUGAAUCCGUUCGGAGUGACCUCAGUGUUGAAUCUGAAGCGAUUCAUAAAAUUUUCAGCCAUGUCCUACCACUCCCUCAAAUUCCUAGUGUCUUGUCUGGUAUACCAAACAAGCGCUUCUCUAGUCAGACUCCUUAUAAAUAGUUUCAUUCUUAGCUUUUUAUUUCUCCCUAAUCCGACCAACUUGUCACGGUAUGCCCUUAAAAGAGCGUGUGGGUCGCCUGUUCCGUAAACAAUGUCGAACUUUGGAGGUUUGUACCCUGCAGGCAUAUCAACAUCGGGAUGUAUGCAAUUCUUCAUAAUCCAAGCUCUCUCUCCCUCGAGCAACUUGGAGAUUCUUCAUCUGUUUCCUCAAUACUCGUAGUUUUUCUGAUACUGACUCCUCUUCCUUGUAUUUUGCUUCUUUCUCUAUCUCAGCAUAUUGGUGUAUCUCAUAAGGCACUCUGACCGUGAUGGGCGCAGUAAAGGUAGGCUCAUGACCGGCAUAUACAGGUGGAAUGUACCGCUCAUGUGUGGCGUUGUGUGCCGCAGGUAUAUACUGUGUGUGAUUGUUGGUAAAAGUGACGUUGUCACGAGGAGGGGUGUGAACCAAAUUGGUGGUAGCUGGUGGAUUUUAUGGUUCUUGGACAUAGUUUGGAGCAUAGGGUGUGUGUAUAGGAGGGUUUGGUAAAUUUGCAGGGGUUACUGGUGGUAUAACUUGAGUUGUGGGAUUUGCGGUGAUAGUAGUUAGGGUAUUGGUUGUUUGUCAGAUAGAUGAAGGGAAAUGGUCAGGGAUUGAAUCUAGGGAAGGGAAGCAGGGUGGUUGCAGAAGCAUUUUCACGACCAAAUGUGCUAGCUCCCAGAUUUGUUUUUCCAGUAUCAUAGGAAUGAGGGUGAGUUGCAGAUUUCCCAGGAAGGUUGCCAAAACUAGGGACAGCAGGUUGAUAUUGAUUCGUCCCUUUCUUUGUGAGAAAACCAACACUCCCAACAAUGCUAGAGAAACGUUUAAGGGGUGGAGGCUCUCCCAUGCUUCUUGAUCACACUGGAAUUAUUCAAGAUGACACUCAUAGCUCUCCCGAUGUUCUAUUUUGUCAAAUAGCUGGCCUAGCUCAUCCAUCCAUCUUUGACGUUUCUCAAGUAUUUGUUUCUUGUCCGACCCAAUACAUGGAGUAACCUAUGGUCUGGCAUGCCGACUAGUUGUAUUGGUUUCCUUCCGACGAAUGGUAACUCCAUGAAGUUGUUAACCCCCUCCAGUGUAGGCAUCAACACACAAUCAACAAAUUUGAAGACUUGUUUGGAUGGGUCCAAAAUCACUAUUAGCAGCCUAGUGAGGACUUUUUCGGUUCAAGUGUUCAUCAAGGCAAUUAGUGCUUCCAGGUCUGUUUUGUUCUCACUCACGUGCUCCCGUCGAAUUUUCCUCCACCACUACUUCAACAUGUGAGGUCAACCAACGACCAUGUUAACCUCGGGGACGUUGCAGCUGAUUUCCAUGUAAAGAGGUAAAAGGUUUGGUACAUGUUGACUCAGAUAUUUAAUGUAUUAUCUGGAUUGGUUCGUCGUUCCACAGAGAGUAGGUCGUUGGGUGCAUAAGCCGUUGACAUUAAGGUGGCAUUCCUAAUUGUGAGUCAAUACCAAGGACUGACCCACCUAAUGUUUAUGCAACAUGACCUAUGUUUGCUAAGAGUAGAGUAUUUCCUAAUUUUGGAGUUGGACUAAAUAACUACAAGAUGUUAUGUCAGUUGGCCUGACAAAGUCGUUCUCUAAAACUGGAGAGUUUUGAAAUAAGGUUUGGAGGGGUGUAAAAGACAAUCCUCGCAUGCCAUUUGUCUGUGAUUGUGUACAUCCAAGACUCGAUAGGAAAGAUGUGAUGAUAGUGUAUAAAGUAGUAACAGAUAAUUGUGGUAAAGUAGUAAUAUAUGCAAACAAGUAAGGAUGUAUAAGCAUGUUGAAAGUGUAAGAAAGUAGAAUGAAGCGAAUAAACAUGUAUUUGAAGGUUAAGCAUAAUUAAACCAGAAUAUAACAAAACAUCCUCAAAGUUCAAGUCUAACCUAAGUCUGCUAAGGUCAGAACCUAAGUAUAAAAAUUCCCAGCAGAGUUGUCAUGUUAUAGAACCUUAUUUUGACCUAGUCAAAUUAAAAUUCAACUAAUGGUCCAUCUGAAGUUGAUUAAAGAAAAGUCGCCACCUAAUAUUUUAAGGUAUAGUAGGGUACCUAUGGGUUUGUUAAAUUAUUAUCUUAAUGGUCUACUAACCGGUGAUAUUUGUAUUAGGGUUCUAGUUAUUCUAAGGGCAAGGAAUUAGUCACCCCUCAAAAUCUACCUGAGGUAGCUCCUUAAGCUUAGACUAAGUUCGAGGAAAAAUGCCUAUAUUCUGCUUAGUCCUGUUUUUAAAGCCUAUAAAAAUGUUCUAAGCUUUAGCUAAAAGUCGGCUACUUGAGAAAAGGUGGUGUAUGUGCUUUGAAAAGAAACUAUAUAUUUUUGCGAUAAUCUUGAAAAGAAAUCGCCCUUUAAUAUAUGUACACUUAUUAAGUUGAAAACUAUAUACACUUUAUUUUCUGAAUAAUCUUGUAAGAACUCUUUUGAUUAAAAGAAGUGGUAUGUUUUAGGGAAAAUGUCACUUAGUAAAUAAAGGACUACUUGAAAUUACGCCUUAAAUUGGAAUGGGUAAACCUUUAUUUGGAAAUCAAGUUUAACCGGAACCACAUACUUUGAAAUUCGUUGACGUCCAUCAGUUCAUAAGCAUUCAUUGUGUUUGAUUUUAGUUCUUGAAAAUGGCUUCGUAAUUAUUUUUUGUAAUUCUGAUUUUUUUCAAGAGAAUUCGUUUUGCUUUUUAAUCUGUCAAAGUCCAACCUUACUGGAAACGGUUAGUGAUAACAAGAUAAGAUCUUUCAUUUGUUAAUAAUAUAAAUAAGUGAGAAAAAAUUAUAGGUGUUUAAAUAGCAGAAUUUCUGAAUUUUUAUUCUUUUACCUAUGAGCUUUGGUUUGCCUAUGUUCCUACAAGAAUAAUAAAAUAUCCAACACAUUCAACAUGGUUAGUUUCUCUAAAGUAUAUAUAUACAUAGAGGCGGUAAAAAAUAACAAGUGAAAUUAAAGGAAGGGGAAUGGAGAACUGGACUCUCGCUAUGGGCUAGCAAAUGUUCAAGCCCAACAUAAUGUGCAUGAACAACAGACUCGACAGGAAUGCGAUGACCCGAAUCUGAAAGUGGACUUGAGCUCCAAAUGGGCUCGGCAGGCCCAAAUUGAAUUCAUGCAUACAAAGAAAAGAAAAUUAUAACGUAUAUCAAUUUCAAAAGCUAAGCAAGACAAUGAUUAUACGAAAUGGUAAUAGAGAACUAAAAAAUGUAGUGAGGCAGAUUUUAUUUAUGCCAAUUCUAUGAAGACUCAUAAGAGUUAGUGACUAAAAGCUUGGUGUAAAUCCUCAUUUAUGGAUAUAAUCCCUCAUUUGAGCCCUUGGCAUUUCAUAGUUCACGAGAGUCUCACGGACCCCAAGCAGUACUUGUGUCAAGGAGAGAGAUCAUAACCCAAAUGAGCUUUCACAUCCAAAUACCCAUAACCACCCACUAUUAAUCUUCCUCAGAGGUUGAAAUACAAACUAAAGAAUCAACAGAGUAACUUUAUACUGCUAAUAUAUAAACAGAAGGUACAAGAGUCAUGGUAAACCCUUUAAAGGUUCAAACACACAAAAAACUCAACAGCUUCGAACAAAUGGGAUGUUGUAAUUCAUUAUCAAAGCACAAAAACAGCCAAGGGCACAAUAUUGACUUAAGAGGGAUCAUAUCAGAGUCAUGAGAUCACAUUGAAGACACAGUCAAGCAAGAAAACAAAGUGCAGGCAAGAGACAUGUUUCAUUUCUCAUAGAUUCUAGACUCAUAUGUGUUACAGUCAAGUAUCCCACAGAGAUGAGCAUAAGGGUAUGUUCUAUUGGCUUCACUGUAGGUUUAAUCUUUCAUAAAUCUUCUAAGUGUGUUCAGAUCAAAGGUAUUGUUCACAGGUGUUUCUAAAGUCUUAGUAUAGUUAACAACAAGCCUAUACCUUAUCAUUUUGACACCUAAACUGAUUAUUCUAAUAAUAAUUCCUAAAGGAGGCAUGCCAAUUUGUCAUGACCCAAAAUCCACUAUAGGUCGUGAUGGCGUCUAACGUCGCCGUCAAGCAAGACAACAGUGAUUUAUCAAUUUAAUUACUCAUUUUUAUUACUUUCGAAAUCAUAGAUUUUAGUAAGGAAGGAGAUUUACACUUCUAAAUUCACGGAAACGUGCAACAUUUGUAGUUUAUAAAAAAUAUUAAAGGUGAUAAUAAUAUACGAAACCUUAUGCAUAAACCAGUAUAACCCCAAAAUUCGGUGUCACAAGUGCAUGUGCAUUUUUCAAAGAGUACAAUAAUAAUACAACAUCUGUCCAGAAUAUAAAUAAGACAGGAUAAAAUAAAUAGUACGAUGGAUACUCGGUGGACUACGAUGCGUAGCCUGGAAUGCAGCUCACAUAAAGUCUCCUCAAUAGGUGUGCCUACGCGCCAGGAUGAUCACCAAACGAACCUGUCAGAUCCCGCACAUUUAGUGUAGAAGUGCAGCAUUAGUACGUAAAUUAACGCGUACCCAAUAAGUAUCUAGCCUAACCCCAGAGAAAUAGUGACAAGGGGUCGACAUCGACACUUACUAGAGGUCCAAUAAAGCAAUAUAAUAAAUCAUAAGCAGAUAUGAAGCACACAACAAUAUUGGGGUAAAUCUGUAAGUUACAUAAUCUUCCAAAUAUUUCUUUUAAAGUAUGAAUUUCUCAAUCUUGUAUUCUACCUUAGCAGCUCAGAAAAUGUCAAGUGCCAAUAUCAAAUGAAUAAGGAAUACCAUAUAAAAUGUCGAGCAUCAGUGGACAGAUAAUCUCGCGAAUGUUCGGACUACCAGCGAUAUAAUGCAUGAUUAUGCCGAUGUCGUUCGGCCCGAUCCAAAAUAAUGUGUACACUACCGAGGGUCGAGUGGAAUGAACCAUAUAUGCAUCUAUUAUACUGUCGAGGCGUUCGGCCCGCUCCACAAGAAAGGAAUGAAAUUAUCGAAGUACGAGGCACAUGCUUACAAUAUAGUACAUGGACACAAUAAGAAAUAUACCCCUUUAGAUUCAUCAAAUAUCUUGGAAACAACUCAAGGUGAUAAAACUCAGCCUAAUAUAUUUAUGUGUUUCUAAAUCCAUUCGAGUUAAAAUUUUAAUUAAUUAAACUAGCAAAAUGAGUCCAAGCUAUUUAAAUAUUAUAUGAUAACGUCCUAAUCCUACCCGGACAUAAUUAUGCUUUAGCUACGUACAGACACUGAUCACCUCGUGCGUACGUAGCACCCACAACUAGUUGCACAUAAUAAUAAAUAUCACCUAGGGGUAGUUUCCCCCUUCACAAGGUUAAACAGGAGACUUACCUCACUCCGAAGUUCUAUAACCGGCUCUCGCGCCUCUCUAAUACCUCAAACCAAAGCCAUCGAUCCGAAACUAGUCAAACAUUAUGUAAAUCAAUCAAAAUAUACCCCAAUGCUUACAAUGUAACAUUUUAUAAAAAUUCCCAACUCCGCUCGAAAAGUCAAUAAAGUCACUCCCACGUGCCCGAAUUCCAAAUAUUUUUAAAGAUAAACUUUACCCAUAACACCAUGAACUCAAAUAUAUAAUUUGUUCCAAAUUUCAUGUCCAAUUUUGUGGUCAAAAUCCAAAAAUACAAAUUUUUACGUUUUCUAUGUAGGAAUAUAAACCAUGUAUUUAACUCACAAUAUGUAGGAAUUACUUACCUCGACAUAGGUGAUGAAAAUCUCCCCUCCAAGAGCUCCAAAAAUCGCCCAACCAAAUGUAAAUGUGAGAGAAAUGGGCUAAGUCUUGGAUUAAAAAUACCCCACUAUCCAGCGACCAUCGCACAUGCGGUCAAGUAGCCGCUUCUGUGGCUCUGCACCUACGGAAAGUCCAUCGAAGGUGCGGCUGCAGCUCAACCCAGCAUCCCUCGCUUCUGCGCCCCAUGUAGCACAUCUGCGCUUCUGCUUUUGGGGGCCUCAAGCGCUUCUACGCUCGCGCACAUGCCCGAUCAUGUCCGCUUCUGCAGCUCAGGCCUUCUUGGCCAACCUCCGCUUCAUCGACAUCUUCUCUGCAUCUGCGGUUCGCAUGUGUGGAAAUUUCCUCACACCUGUGCUCCCAGACAUCUUCCACAAAAAUAGCACCAGCGAUGGAUACUUCGUACCUACGGGAUCGCACCUGCGGCCAGUCCUUGCGCAGGUGCGAUAGCACCACACUUCAGCAGCAUCAGCAAGUCCUCAACUCCAAAUUUCUGUCCGUUUUCAAUCCAUUUCCAUCCCGAGGCCCCCGGGACCCAUCCAAACGUAUCAAUACAACCCAAUAUACAAUACGGACUUAGUCGAAGCCUUGAAUCAGUCCCAACAACAUCAAAUCUACGAAUCUACGAUCGAAAUAUUUCUUUAAGAAUUCAAACUUUUAAACUUCGACGAACGCGUCCGAAUCAUAUCAAAACAUUCUGAAAUGACGCCAAACUUUGCACACAAGUCAUAAAUCACAAUGCGAACCUAUUCCAAGGCUCAGAAUCCCAAACGGACUUCGAUAACACCAAAGUCCACUUCAAUUCAAACUUAACAAAUGCUAAAACCUUCAAAAUGCCAACUUUCCACAAUAAGCGCCGAAAUGCUCCCGGGUGAUCCGUUACUCAACCCGAACAUAUGCCUAAGUCCGAAAUCAUCAUACAAGCCUAUUGGAACCUUCAAAUCCCGAUUCCGAUGUCGUUUACUUAAAAGUCAAACCUUAGACAAUUCUUCCAACUUAAAGCUUCCGGAAUUAGAAUUUCCUUUCCAAAUUAACUCUGAACAUCCCCAAUUCAAUUCCAAACAAACGUACAAGUCAUAAUACAUGAAGUGAAUCUAUUUAAGUCCUCACAACACCGAACGACGCGGUAGUGCUCAAAAAAACCAGUCGGGUCAUUACAUUCUCCCCCACUUAAACAUACGUUCGUGCUUGAACGUGCUAAGGACUGCUCCGGAGUUGUCCAAAAAUAACUAUUUAACACCUCAUGUACUUACCCGUGCCACCACAACCCAGUUGAGCAUGUUAGCUUGAGCCAGUCCGAAGAUCUUUCCUAUAACCUUAGCUAACAAGCUUCAGAACCAAAUUCCAACAUCCAAAAUUUUCCACGAGACCCGAUUCUAACAUAUGAGCACUGCAUCAAUCACCAGACACUGUACCCAACAUGACCAUGCUCCUCCGCUAAAAUCACACCAUGCACCACGUAAUUCGCUUGACCAUAAUAACAUCCUCCGACCACAAUAGCGGUAAUUCCAUGAACCUGAUGCCCGCAAUACACCUCAUAACACAUAUAAGCCCUGAUCUAACUCUCGCAAUACAGCCACGGCGGAAGAGAUGUGUAGAAACUAAUAACCACGUGCUCAACAAAUCAUGGAUCUCUCCUCCGGACAAGAACCAUUACCUCAUGCUGAACUAAAUAACAAUAUUUGCUCUUUAAUAUACCCUACAUAACUCUGAUCGCACUGAUCCCAGGCCCAUACACUCGUCUCACCCAGUAAAAGCUGCUCAGGCAAUAAGCCAUCUCACACACUGCCCAGGAUUUCAUAUGAUGCCAUCAAUGCAACAACAAGCUACAACUUGAAUAUGACACAUAAAGAAGAAAAAACUCUAGGAAAGAACUACCCAGCCCGUGUAACUAAUAAAACGACCGAAUAUAUGCUAUGAACCUACCUUAGGGAUGAAAACAAGGCACACAAAAUAAGUGUAAGGAACUAUGCCAAACAUCUCAUUGUUGCGGUGUGCAACCCGAUCCAAUAUGACACUGUUGCGGCGUGCAACCCGAUCCACACAGCAUGCCCAUCGUGGCAUGCGAUCCGAUCCAAACAAUAUACCCAUGGCGGUGUGCCACCCGAUCCGCACAUAACAAUCAAGAAGAAAACAUACAUCAAGUCGUGCUGCUUAUACUUACGAAAUGCCUGAAUAUCAACCACAAGCAAACCAAGUGCGUAAUACAAAUCCUGAGGAGACGGAUAGUGCCAUACGCUACGAAACCCAAGCACAACUAUGGUGCGAUAAGUGACAUGCAUCUCGAGAGCCAUCAUUCUCAUAUAACACCACAAGCUACACAUGACCUCAACACACGUGCAAAUAAUCAAGCCGUCUCACAACCCACAUGGCACAAUAGAGAUUACAUGGAAUAGCUAACAACAGGAGUAACAUCCAAUGCCCGACUCCUCCUCCUUAAGCAAUGUUAUGACGAAUGAACACAUCCGACCUGACGUAGAUCACACAUUCACAUUAGACCCACCAACGGACCUUUAACCGAUUCUGAUCAUAUCAUACUGGGCCAAUAACCUUCUAAGGAUCCACAAUGGCCCCAUCCAUGACACACACGAGUAGCUGUCCACUCCGGACAAAACUCCCGCAAUUCACAACCAAGGAAUAGAGUGCCUUCCAGGCAUAAACUCUCAUAUUAACGAUAGUACAAAAAAUGUUCAUACUUGGUUUCAAUGUUUAACAAUCAAGUGACUAAAAUGUCACACUUUUACAAAUCUACCUGUGGGAUACGCUCCCACGACCUUCCGCACUAGAUAGCAAAGUCUGCACCUCCAUACCACCAACCGUACUAAUCAGUAAAGCAAUUCAAGAACCCGCAUAUCAAUACACAAUGCUCCUUCCACAGAACACCAUUCCUAGGCAACACUAGGAUAAUGUCAGCUUACUCUAAACAUCUAAAUUCUUCCCGGAUCAUCCGAGCUCGUGAUGUACUUGUCAAUACCGAACUGCAACCUCGAUCCUCAACUUUCAAAUUCCCAUGUCGCUCACUGCACCUAUCAUGCCGCUAUGCAAUAAUACAAGUAUUCAUCAUAACCCUUGAACUACUAGUAGAAUAAACACUUGUUGGAUAUAAACCUUUCACAUAGUUCAUUUCAGAAGAACCAAUGCUACACACAACUGAAUUCCCAAACCGCAAAAAAUACGAACCUCAAGUCGUGAUCUAAACCGCCAUGACUCUUCCCGAAUCCAUUUACACAACAAGGCCAUUUCAAUCAAAUACCUCCCAAAUCAAUCAAGCUGGGAUGGCUGUCGAGCCCACAGGUACAACCACAAACCACAUAUAUAACUUCACACGCCGAAGGAACUGAUCAUUGCCACAAUCAUGCUGAUUUAACCAUUACUAACUGAACCAACUUCUUCUAAUUCACUCUUGAUUUGCCUUAGAAAUAAUAGUAGCUCCAUUCAAGAAUCGUAACGAAACUCAACAACACCCCUCCCGAGUGACCCACUAUAUGAGACCACAUCAUCUCAAUACCUAUGAACCAUCUCAUACCUUCCUCAUGUGCACAAUAGCAUCUCCAACUGGUACACCUAUUCUGAAAGACCUCCCGCGAAUCCGAAACUGUUCCUCCCAUUUUUCCAAUAUUGCCCCGCAGACCCGAUGAUAACAUAGAAAAUUCCCCAAGUAUUCCUCACACCUUGUUGCAAAAUCCCGGUCUCCAGCCACAUAACAAACCCAUUAGAACCACUGUUGAGGGUCACCCACUCUGACUUGGUCGCGAACAUAAGCCAAACUAUAGUGCGCUGUCAGCAUAUGAACACUCCCAAAGAAGCAACCGAAUGAAUUAUUUUUCCUUGCACAUCACAUCUACCAGAAGCAUAAACUAUAAGUCUCCCCAAAAUCUGUGCAUGAAUCGAUAAGACAAAAUAUAACACACAUUCAUCAAAUCCUUUGUUCGAACUACCCAUGAUUUUUCCUUUUCUUAGUCAUAAAUAAUCCACAAAUGACCCAAUAACCAGAAGGUGCACAAGUAGACAACCACGCGAACCAAUGGUAGAUAGUGGGCUCCGCCACAUAAUGUAGAGCCCAUAAUGAUUCCUCCUUCCCAAUCACCAUGAUAUUGCAUCGUUAACCUACAAAAUUCUCAAAACUUCUUGUUAAACAUUUCAUAAAACAUCUCGAAUUAUCAGCCACAAUUGCCUGUGCGACCUCCCGCUGGAAAGUAAGUAGAGAUAGCCCACAUGUGGAAUUCCCUACCGACAUCUCCCAAUGACGAUGCACUGGGUACAACUACCAUGAACUUAAUAAACCCUCCUGAUCCCGUGCUCAUCCACCAGUUGUACAAGUCUGUUCAGUCCCAAUUCACAUCAACUGAAAGUCCGACGAUACAUUCCAAACUCGAAGUCAUGUUUCACACCUCUUCAUUUCUAGCAAACUCCCGCCGCCAUAAUCAAGCUUCCUCCAUCCGGCAGCCACCAUCCCAAAAUAAAAUGCAUAGGCUUAGUCAUUAUCCACCUUGAUUCCCAAAUCGCUCUAAACUUUCCUCAAGGUAAGUGGCUUUCCUGCCACAGAAUUCAUAUGCUACUCUACCACUCCGACUCCGGUUAAACCACAUCCUUUAAGCAACUUGUCGACCUCUGCUCUUCAUACUUGACCUGCUAGUAAUUUGACCACCGUGAGACACCUCCCGCCAUGUCCUUCCUCAUCCUUCGCUGCCCAAAUGUUGCCUCAAAUAAAAAUCCUUCUCUGUAGCACCUGAACUAAUAAAUUGCUACCAACUCUACGCCUUCUCGAAGAUCAUCUUUCUCGAGCCAUUCACUUUCGAAGCACCGGUUCAAUUAUGAAAUUGCUACAUACAGCCAUCUCUGACAACCGCUUCUUAAACACUAUUUCACCACACACUACCCCGAAGGCAAAUCAAAGAAGAUCGUAACACCGACGAACCUUAAUAGAUUCAAACAAGCACGACGACACCACAUCGCAAAUAAAAAUUCCACCACGCUCAAAAAUAUCAAGUCGCGUUACUCCAUUAACCAACACUUGAACAUCCAUAGUUCUGAUUGCCCUUCCUCCACUGGAAUUAGAUUCCGAACCUCUAAACCGUGAACUGAUAAAUCGUCCUUUCGAUUCAUUCACUGCCGCAAUCCAUAAAUAAGCACCAUACCAUUACACCAACACUGUGCGAUAACAACGCAUGAACAUCAUAGAAAUUUGUACAUAGCCUCAAACUAUAGGAAAUACAGAUUCUAAGCUAAAAUGAUAGAACAUCCUACCGCAAGGCGAUGAUAAUAGCCUGCCCGAAUACGCAGGGAAAACAUCUUGCACCACCACUAAAAAUCCCCGAUGCCCAAUUGAUAACAAGCGCUUCACGUAGCAUAAGAUUGAGUAGGAAGGGAGUAAAGGCAUAAGCCUCAAAAGAAUCAAAUCGCACGAUGAAGAAUCUAGAAGGGAAGUUCUCCUAACAACCCUGUAGCCUCUCGAAGAUAAGUACAAACAUAUCCGUACCGAUCCGCAAGACUCUUCUAGACUUUCUCAUAAAUUGUGAGAUCUAAGUGAACCUAACGCUCUGAUACCAAGCUGUCACAACCCAACGUCAGACAAGCCAACAGUGAUUUAUCAAUUUAAUUACUCAUUUUUAUUACUUAUAAAAUCAUAGAUAAGGAAGGAGAUUUACACUUCUAAAUCCACGGGAACGUUCAACAUUUGUACUUUAUAAAAGAAAUUAAAGGUGAUAAUAAUAUAUGAAAUUGUAAGCGUCAACUAGUAUAACCCCAAAACCCGGUGUCAUACGUGCAUGAGCAUUUUCCAAGGACUACAAUAAAAAUACAACAUAUGUCCAUAAUGCAAAUAAGACAGGAUAAAAUAAAUAGUAUGAUGAAGACUCGAUGGACUACGAUGCAUAGUCUGGAAUUUAGCUCACAUAAAGUCCCCUCAACAUAUUCGCCUACAGUCCAAGAUGAUCACCAAACGAACCUGUCAGAUCCUGUACAUUUAGUGCAGAAUUGCAGCAUGAGUACGUAAAUCAACGCGUGCCCAGUAAGUAUCUAGCCUAACCCCAGAGAAUAGUGAUGAGGGGUCGACAUCGACACUUACUAGAGGUCCAAUAAAACAAUAUAAUAAAUCAUAAGCAUAUAUGAAGUACACAAAAAUAAUGGAGUAAAUCUAUAAGUUACAUAAUUUUCCAAAUAUUUCUUUUAAAGUAUGAAUUUCAAAAUCUUGUAUUAUACCUUAACAACUCAAAAAAUUUCAAGUGCGAAUAUCAAAUGAAUAAGGAAUACCAUAUAAAAUUUCGGGCAUCAAUGAAAAAAUAAUCCCGUGAAUGUUCGGACUACCAGUGCUAUAACGCAUGAUUAUGCCGAGGUCAUUCAGCCCGAUCCAGAAUAAUGUGUACGCUGCCAAGGUUCGUGCGGCAUGAAUCAUAGAUUCAUCUAUUAUACUGCUGUAACGACCCGGACGGUCGUUUCAUGAGUUAUAGCCCUGUUCCCCAAUUUCCUGCUUCUUUUGUUUUAUUCAGCUAUGUUAUGAUAUACCGGGUUAGUUGGUUCGAGUCCGGAGUGGUUUCGGUGUGAAUUGAGACACUUAGUCUCUUUAUUAGAAGAUUAAGUUGGAAAAGUCAACCGAAUGUUGACUUACGUGUAAAUGAUCUAGGAAUUGAAUUUUGGUGGUUCUGUAGCUCUGUUAGGUGAUUGUGGACAUAGGAGCGUGCCCGAAAUAUGAUUUGGAGGUUCGUGGUAGAAUUAGGCUUGUAUUGGCGAAAAUUAGAAUUUUAGCGAUUUUGGCCGACAGUGGAAAUUUUGAUAUCGGGGUCGGAUUGGAUUUCUGGAAGUCGGAGUAGGUUCUUGGUGUCACUUCUAAAUUGUGUACAAAAUUUAAGGUCAUCUAGACGUGAUUUGGUAGGUUUCAACAUUGUUUGUGGAAUUCAAAAGUUUAGAAGUUCUUAGGCUUGAAUCCAGGCGUAAUUUUGUGUUUUGGUGUUGAUCUUAGUGAUCCGAAGGUUCAAUAGAGUUUGUAUAAGGUUAUUGGAUAUGUUGGUAUUUUUAGUUAUGGUCCCGAGGGCCUUGGGGUGAUGCCGGGUGGUUAACGGAAGAAUUAGAGUUGACGAAAUGUAGCUGAAGCUGCUGGUUCUGGUAUCUUCCGCCCUUGCGGAGUGGGAGCCGCAGGAGAAAUUGAGCAGCCGCAGAUGUGGCCAUGGAGGACUUGGGUAGGAACCGUCCGUGCGAAGGUAUUCCCGCACCUGCGUGAGUCGAAGAUGCGGGCAGGUAGGUGCAUGUGCGAGUUUUGACCGCAGACGCGAGAGAGUUUCUGCACCUAGGUAGGGCGCAGAUGCGGUCUUGAGGCCGCAGGAGCGAAGUCGAUAUUUUAAGUGAAAUCCGCACAUGAGAUGGAAUUUUCGCAGGUGCGGCAUCACAGAAGGGAUCAAUAGACCGCAGGUGCGGUAUUGCUGGGUAGAAAAGUACCAGCUCGAGGUUUUGUCUUUCAUUUUCAAUUUUGGACAUGAGAAACUCGGGAGUGAGGCGAGUUUUUGAAGGNNNNNNNNNNNNNNNNNNNNNNNNNNNNNNNNNNNNNNNNNNNNNNNNNNNNNNNNNNNNNNNNNNNNNNNNNNNNNNNNNNNNNNNNNNNNNNNNNNNNNNCAUCAUUUAAUUAGGGAUUGGAAUUGGAAAUUUGGGGAUUUAGGGCUUGGGAAUUAGAGAGUGAUCUUUGAGGUUUUGGAGGAGCAAUCGAGGUCGGAUUUUGGCAAAUUUGGUAUGACUAGACUAGUGAGUGAAUGCGCUUUCGGGUUUUGUGAUUUUUGUUGGAUUCCAAGACGUGGUCUCGGGGGCCAGGUUUGAGUCGAUUUUGGAUAUUGGCUAUAAUUUGGUAUUUUUCUUGUGGAAUGGAUUCCUUUAGCCUUUAUUCAUUGUAUUGUAUUACUUGUGCUUAUAUUCGGGACGUUCAGAGGCUGAAUUGAGAUGCAAGGGCAUUUCAGAGUAGGACUUUGCUUGGUUUGAGGUAAGUAACAUUUUCAAACUUGGUUCUGAGGGUUCGAGACCCCAAAUUAUAUGCUAUGUGAUUGGUAUUGAGGUGACGCACAUGCUAAGUGAUGGGCGUGCGGGCGUACACCGUGAGGAUUGUAACCUAGGUGGUUCUAUGGCACCAUUUAGUGAUUCUAUCAUGUUGAUAUCCAUGUUUUCAUCAUGUGAUAAAGUAGUUGAGCUGUAAAUCAGUCUUUUAGGCCUUGUGCCAGUAUUGUUUGGACCCUUAGUGGUCGUUUCUUCCUGUCAUCUCACUAGUUUUCAUUCACUAUUUCAUACUGAGUUAUGAUCAUGCAUUUUUAUAUCAUAUCUCGGUCUUAGUUAUUUAUUGAUUCAUCAUAUCAUUGUUCCGGGUUGUUUUCAUGACAUUGUGAGCUCGUGGCGAGACUGGAGAGGUUGAUGACUAAGUGAGGCCGAGUGCCUGGUUAUGAGUGAUAGUUAUUGGAUCGGGCUGCACGUCGCAGUGGUUAUAUUUAUGAUUAUGAUAGCACUUGGGCUAUAGGAGCCCCUCCGGAGUCUGUAACACCCCCUAGUGAGCACAGAUGAUAUUAUUGAGGGAUGGAUUUCCCUGGACAUGGAUUUUUCCGAAGUACUUGAUACCUGGAGAUGGAUUUCUCCACAGGGUUGGAUUGCCCUUUUUCCUCAGUACUGGUGACUUAUAGUCAGUGUUAUAUAUGUUCCGGGAUGGAUUUCCCUAGGCUGGAUGGCCAUAUACAGUACCGAGUGGUUGAAUACUUGAGAGUGGAGCACAUGGUGCAUUUCAUACAGUUUGUGUAUUCGCAUGUAGAGAUAGAUGAGUUGUAUACCUUACAUUGUUCAGAUAUGUAUUUCCUUUACUGUUUGACCUGUAUAUUUGACUUGAAAGCAUGCCUACAUUUCUGCACAUUUAUUUCUGUUAUACUUGUUGAGGUUGAGUUCAUCACUACCUUUCACUCCAAAGUUUGGACUUGUUACUUACUGAGUUGGUGUAUUCACGUUACUCCCCGCACCUCAUGUGCAGAUCCAGGCGAUACCGAUCAUAGCGGCGAUUGCUGAUUGAAGAUCCUAGAGUUUUGGAGACUGUCAAGGUAGCUGCACUGCGUUCGCGGGCCUUGACUCUCCUUCUUUAUCUUUGUCGUACUUUCAGUUUACAUCUCUAGACACUGUAGUAGACUGUAUUUCGGAUCUAGACGCUCAUGUACUCAGUGACACCCUUAUUUUGGGCUGGAUUGUACCACUUUUUGAUUUUCAUAUGUUUUAAAUAUUUUUUAUUUAAUGUUAAAUGCUUUUGUUAACAUUUUCAAACUCAUUGUUGGGUGUGUUGGGUUGUUGAGUUGAGGCUGGCCUAGUUCCAUGAUAGGCGCCAUAACGAUGAUUGAUUUUGGGUCUUGACAACUUGGUAUCAGAGCCUAGGUUACAUAGGUCUCAUCAGUCAUGAGCGAAUUUAGUAGAGUCUUGUGGAUCAGUACGGAGACGUCUGUACUUAUCUUCGAGAGCUUGUAGAACCCUUAGGAAACUCCACAUUCUUGAAUUCUUGUCGUGCGAGUCUGUUGAUUCUAGUAACUAAACAUUUGUUGUUCCGUUCUCUCACAGAUGGUGAGGACUCGUACUACCGGGCAGGAGGGACAGCCACCAGUACCACUAUCCAGGGCCGCAAGACGCCGAGGGAGGUAGAGGCCGCGGUAGGGGCAGAGGUGCAACCCGUACAACAGCUGGGGCAAUACCUGCAGAUCCACGAGUUGCCCCAGAUCAGGACCAGAUUCCAGUUGUUGAUGAACCAACUCAAGCACCACCUGUGCCUAUUGUGAUUCCAGGCCUUCAGGAGGCCUUAGCUCAGAUUUUGACCGGGUGUACCAGUCUUGCUCAGGCGGUCUCUGUUCCGGCCGCAACAGCCACUUCUUAGGCCGGGGGAGGUGCUCAAACUACUACUGCCCGCACACCAGAGCAGGUGGUACAGGAAUUCCGGACACCGGGGGCACCACCAGCCCAGCCAGUUGCAACUGCUUAGGACUAUGUGGUUCUUGCUAUGCCUGAGGAUGAACAACAUAGAUUGGAGAGGUUUGGAAGACUCCAACCUCCAUCUUUCAAUGGUGUAGAGGGAGAGGAUGCACAUGGUUUCUUGGACAAGUGUCAGAGGAUACUCCGUACAGUAGGUAUUGUGGAGACCAGUGGGGUCUCAUUACUACCUUUUAGUUCUCUAGGGCUGCAUUCAGUUGGGUGAGAGGCAUAGGCUAGUCGGUGCAGUGCCCCUUACCUGGCAGCAGUUCUCCGUUAUCUUUUUGGAGAAGUUCGUGCCUCAGUACCACAGAGAGGAGCUGCGCAUAUAGUUUGAGCAGCUUUGUCAGGGUGAUAUGUCUGUGACGCAUUAUGAGAUGCGAUUAUCGGAGUUAGCCCGUCAUGCUAUCUGGUUGGUUCCCACAGACAGGGAGAGGAUCAGGAGGUUUAUAGAUGGCCUCACUUAUCAGCUGCGAUUGCUUAUGAGCAGGGAGAGAGUGUCUUGUGCUACUUUUGAUGAGGUUGUCGACAUUGCUUAUCAAAUUAAGAUUGUUCGGAGUCAGGAGAGGGUUAAGAGGGAAGCCAAGAGGCCUCGUGGAUAGGGAGGAUUUAGUGGUGCUCCUUCCUGGGGUCAGUUACAGCAUGGUAGAGGUCGUCCUUUCAGGCAUGCUCAGACGGCUCGCCUAGUGCACCGAGGUGCAUCAUCCGGUCAUAGGCCCCAUGUUUAUCAGCUCGGCCAGGCAUCAUUUGGUGCGCUACCAGCUUAGGGUUCAUCAGUGUCAGGAGCUUCUAACGGGUAUUACUAGUGCUCGGGGUUCCUUUCAGUCCCCAAUGGCCUUUAGAGGUUGCUUUGAGUGUGGAGAUUUGGGCCAUAUCAAGAGGUUUUGUCCCUGCCUGACGGGAGGUUCAUCUCAGGAGAGGAGUCAGCCUUCGACUUCGGCACCAGUUCCUCCACCACCCGCCCAGCCAGCUAGGGGCAGAGUUCAUUCAGCUAGGGACCGUCCGAGAGGGGGAGGCCGAUCAGGGGGCAGCCAGGCCCGUUUCGAUGCCCCCUAUCCAGACCAGAUGCCAUUGCUUUAGAUGCUGUGAUUACAGGUAUUGUUUCGGUUUGCCACCGAGAUGCCUCGGUAUUAUUUGACCCUGGGUCUACUUAUUCAUAUACUUCCUCAUAUUUUGCUCAUUUUCUGGAUAUGCCCUGUGAGUCUUUAGUUUCAUCUGUUCAUGUAUCUACGCUUGUGGGUGAUACUAUUAUUGUGGACUGUGUAUAUCAAUCAUGUAUGGUGACCAUUGGGGGUCUGGAGAUAAGAGUGGAUCUUUUGUUGCUCAAUAUGGUCGAUUUUAUGUAAUAUUGGGUAUGGAUUGGCUGUCUCCAUGUCAUGUUGUUCUAGAUUUUCACGCUAAGACUAUGACGUUGGCAAUUCCGGGGUUGCCAAGUGUUGAGUGGAGUGGUUCUAUGUGACUAGUAGGGUGAUUUCAUAUUUGAAGGCCCAGCGUAUGGUGGAGAAGGGUUGUCUAUCCUAUUUGGCUUUUGUGAGGGAUGUUAGUGUAUAGACCCCUACCAUUAAUUCUAUUCCAGUGGUACGUGAUUUUCUGGAUGUGUUUCCUGCAGACCUGCCGGGCAUGCCUCCUGACAGGGAUAUUGAUUUGGUGCUGGGGACUCAGCCCAUUUCUAUUCCACCGAAUCGUAUGGAACUGGUGGAGUUGAAGGAGUUGAAGGGACAGCUUCAGGAACUCCUUGAUAAGGGGUUUAUUUGGUCUAGAGUGUCAUCUUGGGGUGCACCGGUUCUACUUAUUUGUAAAGUAGAAUGAUGGUUCUAUGAGGAUGUGUAUUGACUACAGGCAGUUGAACAAGGUCACGGUCAAGAACAAGUAUCCUUUGCCAUGCAUUGAUGAUCUAUUUGACCAGCUUCAGGGGGCGAGGGUGUUCUCCAAGAUUGAUUUGAGGUCUCGGUAUCACCAGCUGAAGAUUUGGGAUUCGGAUAUUCUUAAAACAGCUUCCAAGACCCGAUAUGGCCAUUAUGAGUUCUUAGUGAUAUCUUUUGGGCUGACCAAUGCCCCAACAACAUUCAUGCAUUUGAUUAACAGUGUAUUCCAACCCUAUUUGGACUCAUUGGUUAUUGUAUUCAUUGAUGACAUCAUGGUGUACUCUCGCAGCCAGGAGGAGCAUCCUCAGCAUUUGAGGAUUGUAUUACAGAGAUUGAGGGAGGAGAAGCUUUAUGCAAAGUUCUCCAAGUGUGAGUUUUGGCUCGGUUCAUUAUCAUUCUUGGGCACGCGGUGUCCAGUGAGGGUAUUCAGGUGGAUCCGAAGAAGAUAGAAACGGUGCAGAGUUGGCCUAGACCAUCCUCAGCCACGGAGAUUAGGAGCUUCCUUGGGCUUGCAGGCUAUUACCGUCGCUUUGUGGAGUGAUUUUCAUCUAUUACAUGGCCCUUAACCAAAUUGACCCAAAAGAGUGCUCUAUUCAGGUGGUCGAAUGAUUGUGAGGAGAGCUUCCAGAAGCUCAAGACUGCUUUGACCACAACUCCAGUUCUAGUUUUGCCGUCAGCUUCAGGUUCUUACAACGUGUAUUGUGAAGCUUCGAGGGUAGGUAUUGGAUGUGUUCUGAUGCAGGUGAGUAGGGUGAUUACCUAUGCCUCGCACCAAUUGAAGACUAAUGAGAAGAACUAUCUUUUCCAUGACCUUGAGUUAGCAGCUAUUAUGCAUACCUUAAAGAUUUGGCGGCACUAUUUGUACGGGGUUCAUUGUGAGGUUAAGUAUUGUGGCUCGGUGUCUCAACUUUCAGCAGGUUAAGUAUGAACAUCAGAUAUCGGGUGGUUUGCUUUAGAGGUUAGAUAUCCCAUAGUGGAAGUGGGAGCGGAUCACCAUGCACUUCGUAGUUGGGUUCCCACGGACUUCGGGGAAGUUCGAUGCUAUUUGGGUUAUUGUGGAUCGGCUGAGCAAGUACGCGCACUUCAUUCUAGUUGAUACUACUUACUAUUCAAUGCGGUUGGCUGAGAUUUACAUCCGAGAGAUUAUUCGCCUGCAUGGUGUUCUAGUUUCCAUCAUUUCGGAUAGGGGCACUCAGUUUACAUUGUAAUUUUGGAGGGCCGUGCAGCGAGAGUUGGGUACUCAGGUUGAUUUGAGCACAACCUUUCACCCUCAGAUGAACGGACACUCCGAGUGCACUUUUCAGAUAUUGGAGGACAUGCUACGCGCUUGUGUCAUUGAUUUUGGGGGUUCAUGAGACCAGUUUUUGCCACUCGCGGAGUUUGCAUAUAACAACAGUUAUCAGUCGAGCAUUCAGAUAGCUCCGUACGAGGCUUUAUAUGGAAGGAGGUAUAGAUCUCCAGUAGGAUGGUUUGAGCUGGGUGAGGCUAGGCUCUUGGGUGCAGACUUGGUCCAGGAUGCAUUAGACAAGGUGAAAUUGAUUCAGAAGCAACUUCGCAUGGAGGAGUCUAGGCAGAAGAGCUAUGCGGACAGGAAGGUCUGUGAUGUGUCUUUCAUGGUCGGAGAGAAAGUUUUGCUGAAGGUAUAACCCAUGAAGCGUGUUAUGAGGUUUGGGAAGAGGGGAAAGUUGAGCCCCCGGUUCAUUAGGCUUUUUGAGGUGCUUCAGAGGAUAGGGGAGGUGACUUAUAAGCUUUCCUUGCCACCCAGCUUGUCGAGUGGGCAUCCAGUGUUUCAUGUUCCUAUGCUCCGGAAGUAUAUUGGCGAUCCGUCCCAUAUUUUGGACUACAGCAAGGUUCAGUUGGAUAGUGAUAUGACUUAUGAUGUAGAGACGGUGGCCAUUUUGGAGCGGCAGGUUCGAAAGUUGAGCUCACAGGAUAUAGCUUCAAUGAAGGUGUAGUGGGGAGGUCUGCCUGUGGAGGAGGCCACCUGGGAGACCGAGCGGGAGAUGCGGAGCAGAUAACCACACCUAUUUGAGGCUCUAGGUAUGUUUCUAGACACGUUCGAGGACGAACAUUUGUUUUAGAGAGGGAAGAUGUAACGACCUGACCGGUCGUUUCGAGAGUUAUAGCCCCGUUCCCCCAUUUCCUGCUUCCUUUUGUGUUCUUCAGCUAUAUUAUGAUAUACCGUCUUACUUGGUUCAAGUCCGGAGUGGUUUCAGAGUGAAUCAAGAUACUUAGUCUCUUUAUUAGAAGCUUAAGUGGGAAAAGUCAAACGGAUGUUGACUUAUAUGUAAACAAUCUCGGAUUUGCUUUUUCAUGGUUUGCUUAGCUCUAUUAGGUGAUUGUGGACUUAAGAGCGCGUCCGAAUUGUGAUUUGGAGUUCCGUGGUAGAAUUAGGCUUGAAUUGGCAAAAAUUAGAAUUUUGGCGAUUUUGGCCGGCAGUGGAAAUUUUGAUAUCUGGGUCGGAUUGGAUUUCUGGAAGUUGGAGUAGGUUUGUGGUGUCCUUUUUAACUUGUGUGAAAAAUUUGAGGUCAUUCGGACGUGGUUUGGUAGGUUUCAGCAUCGUUUGUGGAAUUCAGAAGUUUAGAAGUUCUUAGGCUUGAAUCCGGGCGUAAUUUGAUGUUUUUAUGUUGAUUUGAGUGAUCCGAACGGUCUGAUACAAAGCUUUCACGACCCAAAUUCCACUAUAGGUCAUGAUGGCGCCUAACGCCACCGUCAGGCAGCCAACAAUGAUUUAUCAAUUCAAUUACUCAUUUUUAUUACUUUUGAAAUCAUAGAUAAGGAAGGAGAUUUACACUGCUAAAUCAACGUGAACGUGCAACAUUUGUAGUUUAUAAAAGAAAUUAAAGGCGAUAAUAAUAUAUAAAACUGUAAGCAUCAACUAGUAUAACCCCAAAACCCGGUGUCACAAGUGCAUUUGCAUUUUCUAAGGACUACAAUAAUAAUACAACAUCUGUCCAGAAUGUAAAUAAGAUAGGAUAAAAUAAACAGUACGAUGAAGACUUGGUGGACUGCGAUGCGUAGUAUGGAAUGUAGCUCACAUAAAGUCCCCUCAAGAAGUGCGCCUACCCUAGAGGAUGAUCACCAAACGAUCCUGUCAGAUCCUGCACAUUUAGUGCAGAAGUGCAGCAUGAGUACGUAAAUCAAUGCGUACCUAGUACGUAUCUAGCCUAACCCCGGAGAAGUAGUGAUGAGGGGUCAACAUUGACACUUACUAGAGGUUCAAUAAAGCAAUAUAAUAAAUCAUAAGCAGAUAUGAAGCACACAACAAUAAUGGAGUAAAUCUGUAAGUUACAUAAUCUUCCAAAUAUUUCUUUUAAAGUAUGAAUUUCUCAAUCUUAUAUUAUACUUUAACCGCUCAGAAAAUUUCAAGUGCCAAUAUCAAAUGAAUAAGAAAUACCAUAUAAAAUUUCGGGCAUCAAUGGAAAGAUAAUCAUGUGAAUGUUCGGACUACCAGCGAUAUAACGCAUGAUUGUGCCGAGGUCAUUCGGCCCGAUCCAGAAUAAUGUGUACACUGCCGAGGGUCGAGCGGCACAAAUUGUAGAUUCAUCUAUUAUACUGUUGUAACGACCCGGUCGUUUCGAGAGUUAUAGCCAUGUUCCCCCAUUUCUUGCUUCUUUUUGUGUUCUUCAUCUAUAUUAUGAUAUACCGGGUUAGUUGGUUCGAGUCCGGAGUGGUUUCGAAGUGAAUUGAGACACUUAGUCUCUUUAUUAGAAGCUUAAGUGGGAAAAGUCAACCGGAUGUUGACUUAUAUGUAAACGAUCUCGGAUUUGCAUUUUCAUGGUUCCCUUAGCUCUAUUAGGUGAUUGUGGACUUAAGAGAGCGUACGAAUUGUGAUUUGGAGUUCCGUGGUAGAAUUAGGCUUGAAUUGGCGAAAAUUAAAAUUUUGGCGAUUUUGGCCGGCAGUGGAAAUUUUGAUAUCGGGGUCGGAUUGGAUUUCUGGAAGUUGGAGUAGGUUUGUGGUGUCCUUUUUAACUUUUGUGAAAAAUUUGAGGUCGUCCGGACGUGGUUUGGUAGCUUUCGGCAUCGUUUGUGGAAUUCAAAAGUUCAGAAGUUCUUAGGCUUGAAUCUGGGAAUAAUUUGAUGUGUUGAUGUUGAUUUGAGUGAUCCGAACUAUCUAAUACCAAGCUAUCACGACCCAAAUUCCACUAUAGGUCGUGAUGGCACCUAACGCCACCGUCAGGCAUGCCAACAGUGAUUUAUCAAUUCAAUUAGUCAUUUUUAUUACUUUUGACAUCAUAGAUAUGGAAGGAGAUUUACACUUCUAAAUCAACGUGAACGUGCAACAUUUGUAGUUUAUAAAAGAAAUUAAAGGCGAUAAUAAUAUACAAAACUAUAAGCAUCAACUAGUGUAACCCCAAAACCCGGUGUCACAAGUGCAUGGGCAUUUUUUAAGGACUACAAUAAUAAUACAACAUCUGUCCAUAAUGUAAAUAAGAUAGGAUAAAAUAAAUAGUACGAUGAAGACUCGGUGGACUGUGAUGCGUAGUCUGGAAUGUAGCUCACAUAAAGUCCCCUCAACAAGUGCGCCUACCCGCGAGGAUGAUCACCAAACGAUCCUGUCAGAUCCUGCACAUUUAGUGUAGAAGUGCAGCAUGAGUACGUAAAUCAACGCGUACCCAGUACGUAUCUAGCCUAACCCCAGAGAAGUAGUGAUAAGGGGUCGACAUCGACACUUACUAGAGGUCCAAUAAAGCAAUAUAAUAAAUCAUAAGCAGAUAUGAAGCACACAACAAUAAUGGAGUAAAUCUGUAAGUUACAUAAUUUUCCAAACAUUUCUUUUAAAGUAUGAAUUUGUUAAUCUUGUAUUAUACCUUAACAGCUCAGAAAAUUUCAAGUGCCAAUAUCAAAUGAAUAAGAAAUACCAUAUAAAAUUUCGGGCAUCAAUGGAAAGAUAAUCUUGUGAAUGUUCGGACUACCAGCGAUAUAACGCAUGACUAUGCCGAGGUCAUUCGGCCUGAUCCAGAAUAAUAUGUACACUGACGAGGGUCGAGCGGCACGAAUUAUAGAUUCAUCUAUUAUACUGUUGUAACGACCCGGUCAUUUCGAGAGUUAUAGCCCUGUUCCCCAAUUUCCUGCUUCUUUUGUUUUAUUCAGCUAUGUUAUGAUAUACCGGGUUAGUUGGUUCGAGUCCGGAGUGGUUUCGGUGUGAAUUGAGACACUUAGUCUCUUUAUUAGAAGCAUAAGAUAGAAAGGUCAACUAGAAGUUGACUUAUGUGUAAACGAUCUCGAAUUUGAAUUUUGAUGGAUCUGUUAGCUCCGUUAGGUGAUUGUGGACAUAGGAGCGCGUCCGGAAUAUGAUUUUGAGUCCCGUGGUAGAAUUAGGCUUGAAUUGGCAAAAAUUAGAAUUUUGCCGAUUUUGGCCGGCAGUGGAAAUUUUGAUAUCGUCGUCAGAUUGGAUUUCUGGAAGUUGGAGUAGGUUCGUGUUGUCAUUUCUAACUUGUGUGCAAAAUUUGAGGUCAUCCGCACGUGGUUUUAUAGGUUUUGGCAUCGUUUGUGGCAUUCGGAAGUUUAGAAGUUCUUAGGCUUGAAUCAGGGCGUAAUUUGGUGUUUUGAUGUUGAUUUGAGUGAUCCGAAGGUUCGACUAAGUUUGUAUAAGGUUAUAGGAUAUGUUGGUAUGUUUGGUUGUGGUCCCGAGGGCCUCGAGGUGAUUCCGGUUGGUUAACGGAAGAAUUGGAGUUGAUGAAAUGCAGUUGAAGCUGCUGGUUCUGGUGUCUUCCGCACCUGCGGAGUGGGAGCCACAGGUGCGAGCCCGCAGGAGCGACUGAGGAGCCGCAGAUACGGGCAUGGAGGAGCUGAGUAGGAACCGCAGGUGCGAAGGUAUUCCCGCACCUACGUGAGUCACAGAUGCGGGCAAGCAGGCAGGCACAUGUGCGAGUUUUAACCGCAGAAGCGAGAGAGUUUCCGCACCUGCGAAGGGCGCAGAUGCGGUCUUGAGGCCGCAGGAGCGAAGUCGAUAUUUUAAGUGAAAUCCGAACAUGCGAUGGAAUUUCCGCACGUGCGGCAUCGCAGAAGCGAUCAAUGGACCGCAAGUGCGGUAUUGCUGGGCAGAAAAGCACCAGCUCGAGGUUUUGUCUUUUUUUUUCAAUUUUGGACGUGAGAAACUCGGGAGUGAGGCAAUUUUUCGAAGGUUUUCAAGGAGCAACAUUGGGGUAAGUGAUUCUAANNNNNNNNNNNNNNNNNNNNNNNNNNNNNNNNNNNNNNNNNNNNNNNNNNNNNNNNNNNNNNNNNNNNNNNNNNNNNNNNNNNNNNNNNNNNNNNNNNNNNNNNNNNNNNNNNNNNNNNNNNNNNNNNNNNNNNNNNNNNNNNNNNNNNNNNNNNNNNNNNNNNNNNNNNNNNNNNNNNNNNNNNNNNNNNNNNNNNNNNNNNNNNNNNNNNNNNNNNNNNNNNNNNNNNNNNNNNNNNNNNNNNNNNNNNNNNNNNNNNNNNNNNNNNNNNNNNNNNNNNNNNNNNNNNNNNNNNNNNNNNNNNNNNNNNNNNNNNNNNNNNNNNNNNNNNNNNNNNNNNNNNNNNNNNNNNNNNNNNNNNNNNNNNNNNNNNNNNNNNNNNNNNNNNNNNNNNNNNNNNNNNNNNNNNNNNNNNNNNNNNNNNNNNNNNNNNNNNNNNNNNNNNNNNNNNNNNNNNNNNNNNNNNNNNNNNNNNNNNNNNNNNNNNNNNNNNNNNNNNNNNNNNNNNNNNNNNNNNNNNNNNNNNNNNNNNNNNNNNNNNNNNNNNNNNNNNNNNNNNNNNNNNNNNNNNNNNNNNNNNNNNNNNNNNNNNNNNNNNNNNNNNNNNNNNNNNNNNNNNNNNNNNNNNNNNNNNNNNNNNNNNNNNNNNNNNNNNNNNNNNNNNNNNNNNNNNNNNNNNNNNNNNNNNNNNNNNNNNNNNNNNNNNNNNNNNNNNNNNNNNNNNNNNNNNNNNNNNNNNNNNNNNNNNNNNNNNNNNNNNNNNNNNNNNNNNNNNNNNNNNNNNNNNNNNNNNNNNNNNNNNNNNNNNNNNNNNNNNNNNNNNNNNNNNNNNNNNNNNNNNNNNNNNNNNNNNNNNNNNNNNNNNNNNNNNNNNNNNNNNNNNNNNNNNNNNNNNNNNNNNNNNNNNNNNNNNNNNNNNNNNNNNNNNNNNNNNNNNNNNNNNNNNNNNNNNNNNNNNNNNNNNNNNNNNNNNNNNNNNNNNNNNNNNNNNNNNNNNNNNNNNNNNNNNNNNNNNNNNNNNNNNNNNNNNNNNNNNNNNNNNNNNNNNNNNNNNNNNNNNNNNNNNNNNNNNNNNNNNNNNNNNNNNNNNNNNNNNNNNNNNNNNNNNNNNNNNNNNNNNNNNNNNNNNAAUUGGAAAGUUUGGGAUUUAGGGCUUGGGAAUUGGAGAGUGAACUUUGGGGUUUUAGAGGGGCAAUCGAGGUCGGAUUUUGGUAAAUUUGGUAUGACUAGACUCGUGUGUGUAUGGGAUUUCAGGUUUUGUGAUUUUUGUUGGAUUCCGAGACGUGGGCCCGGGGGACGGGUUUGAGUCGAUUUCGGAUUUUGGCUAUAAUUUGGUAUAUUUCUUGUGGAAUUGAUUCCUUUAGCCUAUAUUGAUCGUAUUGUAUUACUUGUGGCUAUAUUCGGGACAUUUGGAGGCGGAAUUGAGAGGCAACGGCAUUCCGGAGUAGGAUUUUGCUUGGUUUGAGGUAAGUAACAUUUUCAAACUUGGUUCUGAGGGUUCGAGACCCUAAAUUAUAUGCUGUGUGAUUGGUAUUGAGGUCACGCACAUGCCAAGUGACGGGCGUGCGGGCAUGAGGAUUGUGACCUGGGUGAUUCCAUGGAACCGUUUAGUGACUCUAUCCUGUUGAUAACCAUGUUUUUAUCAUGUGAUAAAGUAGUUGAGUUGUAAAUCAUGCUAGAUAUCAUGUUUAGGCCUUGUGCCGGUAUUGUUUGGACCCUUAGCGGUCGUUUCUUGAUGUUAUGUCACUAGUUUUCAUUCACCAUUUCAUACUCUGUCAUGAUCAUGCAUUUUUAUAUCAUAUCUCGAUCUCAGUUAUUUAUUGAUUCAUCAUAUCAUUGUUCUGUCUUGUUUUCAUGACAUUUUGAGCCCGUGAUGAGACUGGAGAGGUUGAUGACUGAGUGAGGCCGAGUGCCUGGUUAUGAGUGACAGUUAUGGGAUCGAGUUGCACGUCGCAGCGGUUAUAUUGAUGAUUAUGAUAGCGCUUGGGCAGUAGGAGCCCCUCCGGAGUCUGUAACACACCCCCAGUGAGCGUGGAUGAUAUUAUUGAGGGAUAGAUUUCUCUGGACAAGGAUUUGUCCAAAGUACUUGAUACCUAGAGAUAGAUUUCUCCACAAGGUUGGAUUGCCUCUUUUCCUCGGUACUGGUGACUUAUAGUCAGUGUUGUAUAUUUUCCAGGAUGGAUUUCCUUGGGCCGGAUGUCCAUAUACACCGAGUUGUUGAAUACUUGAGAGUGGAGCACAUGGUGCAUUUCAUACUGUCUGUGCACUGGCAUUUAGAGAUAGCUGAGUUGUAUACCUUACACUGUGCAGAUAUGUAUUUCCUUUACUGUUUGAGCUUUAUAUUUGACUUGAAUGCAUGCCUACGUUUCUGCACAUUUAUUUCUGUUUUACUUGUUGAGGUUGAGUUCGUCACUACCUUUCAGUCCAAAGUUUGGACUUGUUACUUAUUGAGUUGGUGUACUCACGUUACUCCCUGCACCUCGUGUGCAGAUCCAGGCGAUACCGGUCGUAGCGGCGGUUGCCGAUUGAGGAUCCUAGAGUUUUGGAGACUAUCAAGGUAGCUGCACUGCGUUCGCGGGCCUUGACUCUCCUUUUUUAUCUUUGUCGUACUUUCAGUUUAUAUCUCUAGACACUGUAGUAUACUGUAUUUCUGAUCUAGACACUCAUGUACUUAGUGACACCCUAGUUUUGGGCUGGAUUGUAUCACUUUGGGAUUUUCAUAUGUUUUAAACAGUUUUUCUUUAAUGUUAAAUGCUUUCGUUAACGUUUUCAAACUCAUUGUUGUUGGUGUUGGGUUGUUGUGUUUAGGCUGGCCUAGUUCUACGAUAGGUGCCAUCACGACGAUUAAUUUUGGGUCGUGACAACUGCCGAGGCAUUUGGUCCGCUCCACAAGAAAGGAUAGAAAUUAUCGAAUUACGAGGCACUUGCUUACAAUACCGUAAAUGGGCACAAUAAUAUAUAUACCUCUUUACAUUUAAAAAAUAUCUUUUCAACAACUCAAGGUGACAAAGCUCGGUCUAAUAUAUUUAUGUGUUUCUAAAUCCAUUUCAGUUAAAAUUUCAAUUAAUUAAACUAGCAGAAUGAGUCCAAACAAUUUAAAUAUUAUAUUAUAAAGUCCUAAGUCUACCAGUACAUAAUCAUGCUUUAGCUACGUACGGACUCUCGUUAUCUCGUGCGUACGUAGCACCCACAACUAGUUGCACAUAAUAUCACAUAGGGGUAGUUUCCCCCUCACAAGAUUAGACAGGAGGCUUACCUCGCUCCGAAGUUCCAUAACCGGCUCCCGCGCCUCUCUAACACCUCAAACCAAAGCCCAUCGAUCCGAAACUAGUCAAAAAAUGUGUAAAUCAAUCAAAAUAUACUCCAAAGCUUACAAUUUAACAUUUUAUAACAAUUCACAACUCCCCUCGAAAAAUCAAUAAAGUCAACCCUCGUGUCCAUGUACCCGGAUUCCGAAAAUCUUCAAAGAUAAUAUUUACCCAUGACACCACAAACUCAAAUAUAUAAUUUAUUCCAAAUUCCAUGUCCAUUUUGGUGGUCAAAAUCCAAAAAUACCAAUUUCUAGGUCUUCUACCAAAAUCCCAAAUUUCUACCAAUUUUCAUAUUCAAAUCCACAUAUAAACCAUGUAUUUAACUCAAUAUGUGGGAAUUACUUACCUCGACAUAGAUGAUGAAAAUCUACCCUUCAAGAGCUCCAAAAAUCACCCAACCAAAUGAAAAUGUGAGAGAAAUGGGCUAAGUCUCGGAUUAAAAACACCCCACUGCUGAGCGACCUUCGCACAUGUGGUCAAUUAGCCGUUUCUGCGGCUCUGCACCUGCGGAAAAUCAAUCUCAGGUGCGGCUCUAGCUCAACCCAGCAGCCCUCACUUCUGCACCCCUAGUAGAGCAUCUGCGCGUCCGCUUUUGCAGGGCUCAAGCGCUUCUGCGCUUGCGCACCUGUGGCCCAGGCCUUCUUGGCCAACCUCCACUUCUACGACAUCUCUCUGCAUUCGCGGCUUCGCAGGUGCGGAAAUUUUCUCGCACCUGCGCUCCCAGACUUCCUCCACAAAAAUCGCACCUACGAUGGACACUUCGCACUUGUGUGACCGCACCGGCGGCCACUCCUUCCGCAGGUGCGAUGGCACCAAACAUCAGCAAGUCCUCAACUCGAGGACCCCAUUCGAUCUUGCCAACGCAACCCAAAACACAAUACAUACUUAGUCGAAGCCUCAAAUCAUGCCCAACAACAUCAAAUCUAUGAAUCGAUGAUCGAAACAUUUCUUUAAACUUUUAAACUUCAACGAACGCGUCCGAAUCAUAUCAAAACAUUCCGAAAUGAUGCCAAACAUUGCGCACAAAUAAUAAAUCACAAUACUAACCUAUUCCAAGUCCACUUCAUUUCAAACUAACCUAUGCCAAGGCUUCGAUAAUACCAAAGUCCACUUCAUUUCAAACUUAAAAAAUUCUAAAACCAUCAAAAUGCCAACUUUCCACAAUAAGCAUCGAAAUGCUCCCGGGUUAUUCGAUACUCAACCCAAACAUACGCCCAAGUCCGAAAUCAUCAUACAAACCUAUUGGAACCUUUAAAUCCUGAUUUCAAUAUCGUUUACUUAAAAGUCAAACCUUAAUCAAUUCUUCCAACUUAAAGCUUCCGGAUUUAGAAUUUUCUGUCCAAAUCAACUCUGAACUUUCCGAAAUUUAAUUUCGACCACACGUACAGGUUAUAAUACAUGAAGUGAAGCUAUUUAAGGCUUCAAAUAAGCGAACGAUGCGCUAGAGCUCAAAAUAACCGGUUAGGUCGUUAUACAAUUAGUUAGGGCAGCAAAGUCAUUAAAAAAGGAAAGAAUUGAUCUUAGUAUUACUCAAUACUGAUAGACCGAUUACACAACACAUAGUUCAUCAAGAUUUCUAAAUAUCAGACUUAAACAAAUUCAGGGUGAGUCCCUACAGGAGAUGGCACUAUCAGCUAUAAGCCAAUAGGUGAUAACAUCUAUUUUAAGGCACACAGGUCAUAUUGAACUGACACUUGAAUAUAUAGGCAUGUUUACUAGCAUGGUAUGCCAACAAAACACAAUACAUGAUAUGCAUUUAAGCUAAUAUGAUAGACAUAUAGGAAUCAGCAUAGCAAAAAGUCACAACUAAGUCUAACAGUUAAAGUCAUGAGAACAGAUCAUCACCGGCAAUGGGAAUGGAUCUCUUAGUGGGAAAUAUUCACAUACUCAAACCAAUAAAAGUAACAUAGCAAAUUCAGAACCAGGGAAAGUAAAGGUUAGCACAUAGGUGCAAAUAUAUAGUCUCUCAAAGUGAAGUCACAUAAUAUUUUAUGAGCAUAGCUAGGAUUAACAUGACAGAGGUAAACUCAGGUGUAAAGGUCAUUAAUGUAAUAGCAGGAAUCUCAAAAAAUCUCAAAUAGUCAUGAGAGGGUGAGUAUUGAGCUCACUACAGGGAUCACUAGAAAAUAGUCUUCCUUACACACUUAGCAAGGUUCAGUACAUAAUUUGUUGACAUAUCAAACCAUCACAAAGAAUACACCAGAAUCAUUCUAUUACUACUACAUCUGCAGGCUAUUAAUUAGAGUCAAACAAAUUAAUAGAAGGUUGGAACUAAACCAAACAGCAUAACAUUACAGGUAUCAAGAUGGCCUAAUGUAACAAGCAAUGACAUCAUAGAUGAUUCUUUGAAACUUUAUUUUAUCCCAACCUCUUCUGCAGGGACCCAAACUAAGUAGUAGAAGUUCAACAACGAUUUAGGAAUCCAAACUCAUGACCAGUAUAACAGUUGAACUCAAACCGGAGAAGAGAAAGAAAAUAGAAAAGUUAGGGAAUACUUAGUGAGGAAACCUUAAACUUUAACUCUUUUCUUUUUUCCUUUGUGUUUCAGAUACUAUUUAAUGUAUGUUAGGUGAAGACAUUGAAUGCACCUUUUAUAGUGGUAUACAAUCCUUAGGGUUCCAAUCAGAUUCAAAAUCAUGAGUGAAAAGUGAAAAUAGUCUGAUGAUUAUAGCAAUAGAGGUGAAAUUAGUGAAGAACAGAGGGAAAAACAUCAUAGAAAUUACAUGGGCACAAGGGGAUGACUGUUGAAGCUUUUGGACUGCUGGUCAAACCGUAAUAUCUAGAGGUCAAUGCAUUUGACCUCUGGAUAAAGAAUAACAAUGAUGAAACCAAAGACAAAUAGCCAUGCAUGCUAUGGUUUUGAAAGAACAUGGGAGGUUUGAUGGGUUUUCAAGUUACA